UCUUGCUAGACAAGGAAACUACUGAAACUACAAUAUUUCUGGCUUCAGGCAGUGAAGAGGUGGAUAAGAAGAUAAUGGAUGGAUACAAAUGCUGAAGUGUCUGGUGCCCUGUUGUGGGCCCCGCAAUACCGGCUCGCGACACCUGUGAUAAAUUGUGGGACAAGUUCUUUCAUCUAGGAUGACUACAAAUGGAUGCACUCAGGAGCUGUGGUCUUCUGGUGAGGCUUUCUGCUCCUUUGAACUGUGAGGUUCUCUGCAGAGGGGAUUCUCACUGUGGAAGGACCAAGCCACAUAAAUUCCAUCAAGUUCUGCCUGUAGACCUGACUGCUUCUAAAAACAGGAGAGGAUGGAAGUGGUGUUUUUGUGAAGGGCCGAGCUACUGUGGGUAUGUUCAUCGAGGUGCUCACAUUUAUGGGUGGAGUACAUCUAACAGUGCAUUCAGGAAGGAUGCAACUACAAACUGCUCUGUGAUAGGUAUGAGCUGGAUUGGUGAGAUACGAUAUCAAAGCAUAUCAAAGCACAGUAGUGAAUUGUCAUGAGAAGUUCUACUAGGAUUUUGAUCUGAGAAGAAACACUCCGGGAGAUCUAUGUUUACAUACCAAAGUUAAAAAGAACUCCUUUGAAUCAAAAGCUACUGCUAGUAUUUUUGGUUGAGCUCUUUGUCAGAUUGGAACUUCAGAGCUGCCUGUGAAAAGCUCACUUUUGGAAAGGGGACAAGGCUCU